AUGCAAGAGAAGCAUCCACUCGGUUUCCUGAGUCGUGCACUGGGGCCGCGCAACCGCAUGCUCUCAACCUAUGAGAAGGAAGGGUUGGCGAUUCUUUUGGCUGUCGAUCACUGGCGCCCGUAUCUCCAACAUGAUGAAUUCAUCAUUCAUACAAAUCAACGAAGCCUUAUUCAUUUGGAAGAUCAACAGCUGUCUACUACAAGGCAGCAGAAGAUCAUGGUCAAGCUGCUGGGGUUGCGGUAUCGCAUCGUCUACAAACGAGGUUUGGACAACCGAGCAACUGAUGCUCUCUCUCGCCUUCCUGGCCCUCCAUAG
rnacentral:rRNA from 1 species